AUUAGGGUUUGGAUUAGGGUUUAGGAUUUGAUUAGGAUUUGAUUUAGGGUUUGGAUUAGAGUUUGGACUAGGAUUUGGUUAGGGUUUGAUUUAAGGUUUGGUUUAGGGUUUAGGAUUUGGAUUAGAAUUUAGGAUUUGCUUAGGGUUUGAUUUAGGGUUUGGACUAGGGUUUGGAUUAGAAUUUGAUUAGGGUUUGAUUUAAGGUUUGGUUUAGGAUUGAGGAUUUGGAUUAAAGUUUAGGAUUAGAUUAGGAUUUGGAUUAGGGUUUAGGAUUUGAUUAGGGUUUGAUUUAGGAUUUGGAUUAGAGUUUGGACUAGGAUUUGGUUAGGGUUUGAUUUAAGGUUUGGUUUAGGAUUUAGGAUUUGGAUUAGAGUUUAGGGUUUGGAUUAGGAUUUGGAUUAGGAUUUAAGAUUUGGUUAGGAUUUGAUUUAGGAUUUGGAUUAGGGUUUGGACUAGAGUUUAGAGUUUGGUUAGGGUUUGAUUUAGGAUUUGGAUUAGGAUUUGGUUAGGAUUUGAUUUAAGGUUUGAUUUAGGGUUUAGGGUUGGAUUAGGAUUUGGUUUAGGGUUUGAUUUAGGGUUUGAUUUAGGGUUUGAUUUAGGAUUUAGGAUUUG
rnacentral:lncRNA from 1 species